GGCAGAUAAGAACCAUUCGGCCCAUCUAGUCUGCCCAAUAUUUCAAAAUACUUUCAAUUAGUCCUGGCCUUAUCUUAAGUCUAGGAUGGCCUUAUGCCUAUCCCAUGCAUGCCUAAACUCCCUCACUGUGUUAACCUCUACAACUUCAGCUGGAAGGCUAUUCCAUGCUUCCACUACCCUCUCAGUAAAGUAAUACUUCCUGAAAUUAUUUUUAAACCUUUGCCCC